ACGGGAGGCAGCAGUAGGGAAUCUUCCGCAAUGGGCGAAAGCCUGACGGAGCAACGCCGCGUGAGUGAUGAAGGUCUUCGGAUCGUAAAACUCUGUUAUCAGGGAAGAACAAAUGUGUAAGUAACUGUGCACAUCUUGACGGUACCUGAUCAGAAAGCCACGGCUAACUACGUGCCAGCAGCCGCGGUAAUACGUAGGUGGCAAGCGUUAUCCGGAAUUAUUGGGCGUAAAGCGCGCGUAGGCGGUUUUUUAAGUCUGAUGUGAAAGCCCACGGCUCAACCGUGGAGGGUCAUUGGAAACUGGAAAACUUGAGUGCAGAAGAGGAAAGUGGAAUUCCAUGUGUAGCGGUGAAAUGCGCAGAGAUAUGGAGGAACACCAGUGGCGAAGGC
rnacentral:rRNA from 1 species